CGGGAAUAUACAUAUAAGACGAGAAGACCCCAUGGAGCUUUAAACCCAACAGCACCUAUUCUUUUUAAAUCCACUUAUUCUUAUAGUAAGUGCUUGCUUGGUUUUAGGUUGGGGUGACCGCGGAGUAAAAAUAAGCCUCCACGAAAAAAGGCAUAAAAGCCUUAUCAAAGAAUCACACUUCUAUGAAUUAGUAAACUAAUUUUUGAUGAUCCGAUAUUCGAUCAACGAACCAAGUUACCCUGGGGAUAACAGCGCAAUCCACCUCAAGAGCUCUUAUCGACAAGUGGGUUUACGACCUCGAUGUUGGAUCAGGGUACCCCAGUGGUGCAGCAGCUACUAAAGGUUCGUUUGUUCAACGAUUAAAACCCU
rnacentral:rRNA from 1 species